rnacentral:lncRNA from 13 species
UUAAAGAGGGAGGGGAGUGGCUUUAGCACAGACCUAUACAGGAAGCAGACGGACAGGAAUUCCCUGUUACACGGAGACAGCUUCCACCCGACACCCCUAAAAAAGAUCCUCCCCAUCAGCCAAUACAGUCGCAUACACAGGAUUUGUAGUACACAGAGUGACUAUGACAAACAAGCCGGCUGUCUGGAUGAGUGUUUCAGACAGCGGGGUUACCCAGAGGAACGGCUGGAUGAGUGUUUCAGACAGCGGGGUUACCCAGAGGAAUGGCUGGAUGAGUGUUUCAGACAGCGGGGGUAUCCAGAGGAAUGGCUGGAUGAGUGUUUCAGACAGCGGGGGUAUCCAGAGGAAUGGAUACCUUGUAACUGGAGAUUCCUUCAAAACGAUUGCCUACAAUUAACGUGUAGGGCACUGCAAGGUUGGGUGACCAGGGUCAUCUGGGACUGCCUUCUGGAGGAAUUCAGGUGUGUGAAGGCUACCUGUGUCCUGCGUAACUUCAUGAGGAUGGACACGAGGACCAGGAGGGGAUCUGCAGCUACCGCCGUGUGCCAGAGGAGAAGUCUGCUGCUCUGCAGGAUGUUUCAAGGAUGGGGUCCAACAACGCAACAAGAGAGGCAAUCCAUGCGCAGGAGAUCUUCACCUCCUACAUCUUCAAAGAGGGUGCUGUUCCCUGGCAACACCAUAUACUACACUAUGCACAACCAAAGGCUCUUUUAAGAUCCAUUCACAUUGCAAUAAGAGUAUUCUUCCAUUUACUUAGCUAUGUCAACUGCAGUUAUUAAAUUCCCAAUUCUCUCCCUUUGAUUUCUACUUCUCAGGUGAGGGUGCUGUUUAGGUAAGUCUGUCUGUGCAAAAACAAAACAUGCUUUUUUAAAUCACCCAUAUUGAAAAAAUUUAGAACAAUUAGACACCCUAUAACCCACACCUACACACUCAUGUAUCAAUCUGAUUGAUGGAUUGUGUUGUGCAGUAAGCAGGCUCAGGUGUAUAACUGUGGCUCCUUCCAACUUCAACGAAUAGGCAAGAAGGCCAACCGUGGAGAACAGUAAGACACUUCAUUGUUUCUAUAACUACGCUAUAUUGUUUGUUCUCGUGGGUCCGUUCAUGUUUUUCAGCAUAAAGUACUCUGCAGCCAGUUAGUGUGGUGUGGACACCAGGUGAGGCCACACACAGAUUCCUGUUGAACACAGGGUCAGUUUUAACUACCUUAUUUUUUCAAUAACAGUCUCUCUCCAUCACUUCAUCCCUCUCUCCCCUUCUCCCUAAAUCCUCUAGGUUAUAUCAGCUGUGUCGGUGAAACCCUCCUGCAUCUGAACUGGUUACAUAGAGGGCGCAGCAUGUUCAGAGGUGAGAGGUCACUUGGUCAGGUUAACAGCAAGUAUUAUUAAAGAGAUGCUUUACAUUGAAAUACAGACACGGUUUCUGGAAGGAAAUGCUGUAGGAACGCUCAACCGGUGUCGCUCAUUCAGCCGACAGAAACUUUCAACCGGUUUUCCCCAUUAAGCAGCGGGUCGGAGUCAGAGGCCGAGUCUUCUCUGGUCUCUACUCCUCCCGUUACGGGGUCUGAGACGCCGAAGCUUCCCACCAUUAGCUCUGACAAAUUGAAAACUCUAGUCAUUGGCGACUCCAUUACCCGCAGUAUUAGACUUAAAACGAAUCAUCCAGCGAUCAUACACUGUUUACCGGGGGGCAGGGCUACCGACGUUAAGGCUAAUCUGAAGAUGGUGCUGGCUAAAGCUAAAACUGCCGAGUGUAGAGAGUAUAGAGAUAUUGUUAUCCACGUCGGCACCAACAAUGUUAGGAUGAAACAGUCAGAGAUCACCAAGCGCAACAUAGCUUCUGCGUGUAAAUCAGCUAGAAAGAUGUGUCGGCAUUGAGUAAUUGUCUCUGGCCCCCUCCCAGUUAGGGGGAGUGAUGAGCUCUACAGCAGAGUCUCACAACUCAAUCGCUGGUUGAAAACUGUUUUCUGCCCCUCCCAAAAGAUAGAAUUUGUAGAUAAUUGGCCCUCUUUCUGGGACUCACCCACAAACAGGACCAAGCCUGACCUGCUGAGGAGUGACGGACUCCAUCCUAGCUGGAGGGUUGCUCUCAUUUCAUCUACCAACAUAGACAGGGCUCUAACUCCUCUAGCUCCACAAUGAAAUAGGGUGCAGGCCAGGCAGCAGGCUGUUAGCCAGCCUGCCAGCAUAGUGGAGUCUGCCACUAGCACAGUCAGUGUAGUCAGCU